GGGGAUAUAGCUCUGUGGGACAGUGCAUGCUCAGUAUGCACGAGGUCCUGGGUUCAAUCCCCACUACCUCCA
rnacentral:tRNA from 1 species